rnacentral:rRNA from 1 species
ACUCCAAAGCCGCAAGGCGCCUAUGGAUGGGGCUGCGUCCCAUCAGCUAGUUGGUGAGGUAAUGGCUCACCAAGGCUACGACGGGUAACCGGUCUGAGAGGAUGAUCGGUCACAGUGGGACUGAGACACGGCCCGCACCCCUACGGGGGGCAGCAGUGGGGAAUAUUGGGCAAUGGCCGAAAGGCUGACCCAGCAACGCCGCGUGGUGGAUGAAGCCCUUCGGGGUGUAAACACCUUUUCUGGGGGAAGAUAAUGACGGUACCCCAGGAAUAAGGGACGGCUAACUACGUGCCAGCAGCCGCGGUAAUACGUAGGUCCCGAACGUUGCGCGAAAUUACUGGGCGUAAAGGGUCCGUAGGCGGUCUGGUAAGUGGAAGGUGAAAUCCUACGGCUCAACCGUAGAAUUGCCUUCCAAACUGCUGGACUUGAGGCAGGGAGAGGUCGGCGGAAUUCCCGGUGUAGCGGUGAAAUGCGUAGAUAUCGGAAGGAACACCAGUGGCGAAGGCGGCCGACUGGAACUGUCCUGACGCUGAGGGACGAAAGCUAGGGGAGCAAACCGGAUUAGAUACCCGGGUAGUCCUAGCCGUAAACGAUGGAUGCUAGAUGUGGCCUACGAAAGUAGGCUGUGCCGCAAGCAAACGCGUUAAGCAUCCCGCCU